GAGGUUUUAGGGUACGACAGGAUGCUAAACAUAAAGUAUAAAGUAAAUGACAUAAAAUAAAAGAGCAUAAAGUAAAUGACUUUUAAGUAAAAGUUAAUACAAGUAAAAUGUUAGAAAAUGAUGUUAGUAAUAAAAAAUGAAAGAUGGUUUGGUCAUUUUUUGGAGAACACUCAGCUAUUUACCCACAAGCAUGAAAACAUGAACCUA
rnacentral:lncRNA from 1 species